GAUGAAGAACGUAGCGAAAUGCGAUAAGUAAUGUGAAUUGCAGAAUUCCGUGAAUCAUCGAGUCUUUGAACGCACAUUGCGCCCCCUGGUAUUCCGGGGGGCAUGCCUGUCCGAGCGUCAUUGCUGCCCUCAAGCACGGCUUGUGUGUUGGGCUCCGCCCCCCUCCCGGGGGGCGGGCCCGAAAGGCAGCGGCGGCACCGCGUCCGGUCCUCGAGCGUAUGGGGCUUUGUCACCCGCUCUGUAGGCCCGGCCGGCGCCCGCCGGCGACCCCAAUCAAUCUUUCCAGGUUGACCUCGGAUCAGGUAGGGAUACCCGCUGAACUUAAGCAUAUCAAUAGCGGAGGA
rnacentral:misc_RNA from 1 species